AUUGAACGCUGGCGGCAGGCCUAACACAUGCAAGUCGAACGAGUGGCGGACGGGUGAGUAAUGUCUGGGAGACUGCCCGAUGGAGGGGGAUAACUACUGGAAACGGUAGCUAAUACCGCAUACCAUCGGAUGUGCACAGAUGGGAUUAGCUAGUAGGUUGGGUAACGGCUCACCUAGGCGACGAUCCCUAGCUGGUCUGAGAGGAUGACCAGCCACACUGGAACUGAGACACGGUCCAGACUCCUACGGGAGGCAGCAGUGGGGAAUAUUGGACAAUGGGCGAAAGCCUGAUGCAGCCAUGCCGCGUGUAUGAAGAAGGCCUUCGGAUUGUAAAGCACUUUAAGCGGGGAGGCGUUACUCACAGAAGAAGCACCGGCUAACUCCGUGCCAGCAGCCGCGGUAAUAC
rnacentral:rRNA from 1 species